rnacentral:rRNA from 1 species
UGGGGAAUAUUGCACAAUGGGCGCAAGCCUGAUGCAGCCAUGCCGCGUGUGUGAAGAAGGCCUUCGGGUUGUAAAGCACUUUCAGCGAGGAGGAAGGUGGUGAACUUAAUACGUUCAUCAAUUGACGUUACUCGCAGAAGAAGCACCGGCUAACUCCGUGCCAGCAGCCGCGGUAAUACGGAGGGUGCAAGCGUUAAUCGGAAUUACUGGGCGUAAAGCGCACGCAGGCGGUUUGUUAAGUCAGAUGUGAAAUCCCCGGGCUCAACCUGGGAACUGCAUUUGAAACUGGCAAGCUAGAGUCUCGUAGAGGGGGGUAGAAUUCCAGGUGUAGCGGUGAAACGCGUAGAGAUCUGGAGGAAUACCGGUGGCGAAGGCGGCCCCCUGGACGAAGACUGACGCUCAGGUGCGAAAGCGUGGGGAGCAAAACAGGAUUAGAUACCCUGGUAGUCCACGCUGUAAACGAUGUCGAUUUGGAGGUUGUGCCCUUGAGGCGUGGCUUCCGGAGCUAACGCGUUAAAUCGACCGCCUGGGGAGUACGGCCGCAAGGUUAAAACUCAAAGGAAUUGACGGGGUCAUAGCUGUUUCCUG